rnacentral:rRNA from 1 species
AUUGAACGCUGGCGGCAGGCCUAACACAUGCAAGUCGAGCGGAUGAAGGGAGCUUGCUCCUGGAUUCAGCAGCGGACGGGUGAGUAAUGCCUAGGAAUCUGCCUGGUAGUGGGGGAUAACGUCCGGAAAGGGGCGUUAAUACCGCUUACUCCCGGGGGGAGAAAGUGGGGGACUUUCGAACUCACCGCUAUCGAUGAAGCCUAGGUGGGAUUAGCUAGGUGGUGGGGUAAAGGCCUACCAAGGCGACGAUCCGUAACUGGUCUGAGAGGAUGAUCAGUCACACUGGAACUGAGACACGGUCCAGACUCCUACGGGAGGCAGCAGUGGGGAAUAUUGGACAAUGGGCGAAAGCCUGAUCCAGCCAUGCCGCGUGUGUGAAGAAGGUCUUCGGAUUGUAAAGCACUUUAAGUUGGGAGGAAGGGCAGUAAGUUAAUACCUUGCUGUUUUGACGUUACCAACAGAAUAAGCACCGGCUAACUUCGUG